rnacentral:rRNA from 1 species
UACGUAGGCAGCGAGCGUUGUUCGGAGUUACUGGGCGUAAAGCGCGCGCAGGCGGUCCUUUAAGUCUGAUGUGAAAGCCCACGGCUCAACCGUGGAGGGUCAUUGGAAACUGGGGGACUUGAGUACAGAAGAGAAGAGUGGAAUUCCACGUGUAGCGGUGAAAUGCGUAGAGAUGUGGAGGAACACCAGUGGCGAAGGCGACUCUUUGGUCUGUAACUGACGCUGAGGCGCGAAAGCGUGGGGAGCAAACAGG